UACGUCAAUAUCACGUUGAAAAACCUGUUCCCGUACAAUCACCGAAGUUAAGCAACUUUGAGCCUGGUUAGUACCUAGGUAGGUGACUGCUUGAGAAUACAAGGUGCUGUAA